rnacentral:rRNA from 1 species
UGGGGAAUAUUGGACAAUGGGCGAAAGCCUGAUCCAGCCAUGCCGCGUGAGUGACGAAGGCCUUAGGGUUGUAAAGCUCUUUUGGCGGGGACGAUAAUGACGGUACCCGCAGAAUAAGCUCCGGCUAACUUCGUGCCAGCAGCCGCGGUAAUACGAAGGGAGCUAGCGUUGUUCGGAAUCACUGGGCGUAAAGCGCACGUAGGCGGAUUUGUAAGUCAGGGGUGAAAUCCCGGGGCUCAACCUCGGAACUGCCUUUGAUACUGCAAAUCUCGAGUCCGAUAGAGGUGGGUGGAAUUCCUAGUGUAGAGGUGAAAUUCGUAGAUAUUAGGAAGAACACCGGUGGCGAAGGCGGCCCACUGGAUCGGUACUGACGCUGAGGUGCGAAAGCGUGGGGAGCAAACA